UACGGGGGGGCAAGCGUUGUUCGGAAUUACUGGGCGUAAAGCGUGCGCAGGCGGUGAUGUAAGACAGAUGUGAAAUCCCCGGGCUCAACCUGGGAACUGCAUUUGUGACUGCAUCGCUGGAGUGCGGCAGAGGGGGAUGGAAUUCCGCGUGUAGCAGUGAAAUGCGUAGAUAUGCGGAGAACACCGAUGGCGAAGGCAAUCCCCGUGGGCCUGCACUGACGCUCAUGCACGAAAGCGUUGGGGAGCAAACAGG
rnacentral:rRNA from 1 species